rnacentral:misc_RNA from 1 species
AACGAGGCCGACCUGCGGCUGAGUUACCUGCGGAGGGAUCAUUAUAGAGUUUUCUAAACUCCCAAACCCAUGUGAACUUACCAUUGUUGCCUCGGCAGAACCUACCCGGUACCUACCCUGGAACGAGCUACCCUGUAGCUACCCAGGAACGGGCUACCCUGUAACGUCCUGCCGGUGGACUUCUAAACUCUUGUUAUUUAUAGUAAUCUGAGCGUCUUAUUUUAAUAAGUCAAAACUUUU